rnacentral:piRNA from 1 species
UGUGAUCAUAGUUGGAGAACUUUU